rnacentral:rRNA from 1 species
UGGGGUAUAUUGCACAAUGGGCGCAAGCCUGAUGCAGCCAUGCCGCGUGUAUGAAGAAGGCCUUCGGGUUGUAAAGUACUUUCAGUCGGGAGGAAGGUGGUAAGGUUAAUAACCUUAUCAAUUGACGUUACCGACAGAAGAAGCACCGGCUAACUCCGUGCCAGCAGCCGCGGUAAUACGGAGGGUGCAAGCGUUAAUCGGAAUUACUGGGCGUAAAGCGCACGCAGGCGGUUGAUUGAGUCAGAUGUGAAAUCCCCGGGCUUAACCCGGGAAUUGCAUCUGAUACUGGUCAGCUAGAGGCUUGUAGAGGGGGGUAGAAUUCCAUGUGUAGCGGUGAAAUGCGUAGAGAUGUGGAGGAAUACCGGUGGGGAAGGCGGCCCCCUGGACAAAGAAUGACGCUCAGGUGCGAAAGCGUGGGGAGCAAACAGG